UAGGCCCAUGUAUAUGACGACAGUGGUGGUCCCGGGGUUCUAGGAAGUAUAUCUCUGUCUGUGUGGUGACAAUAGGCCCAUGUAUAUGACGACAGUGGUGGUCCCGGGGUUCUAGGAAGUAUAUCUCUGUCUGUGUGGUGACAAUAGGCCCAUGUAUAUGACGACAGUGGUGGUCCCGGGGUUCUAGGAAGUAUAUCUCUGUCUGUGUGGUGACAAUAGGCCCAUGUAUAUGACGACAGUGGUGGUCCCGGGGUUCUAGGAAGUAUAUCUCUGUCUGUGUGGUGACAAUAGGCCCAUGUAUAUGACGACAGUGGUGGUCCCGGGGUUCUAGGAAGUAUAUCUCUGUCUGUGUGGUGACAAUAGGCCCAUGUAUAUGAUGACAGUGGUGGUCCCGGGGUUCUAGGAAGUAUAUCUCUGUCUGUGUGGUGACAAUAGGCCCAUGUAUAUGACGACAGUGGAGGUCCCGGGGUUCUAGGAAGUAUAUCUCUGUCUGUGUGGUGACAAUAGGCCCAUGUAUAUGACGACAGUGGUGGUCCCGGGGUUCUAGGAAGUGUAUCUCUGUCUGUGUGGUGACAAUAGGCCCAUGUAUAUGACGACAGUGGUGGUCCCGGGGUUCUAGGAAGUAUA